rnacentral:rRNA from 1 species
UACGUAGGUGGCGAGCGUUGUCCGGAUUUACUGGGCGUAAAAGGAGCGUAGGCGGACUUUUAAGUGAGAUGUGAAAUACUCGGGCUCAACUUGAGUGCUGCAUUUCAAACUGGAAGUCUAGAGUGCAGGAGAGGAGAAUGGAAUUCCUAGUGUAGCGGUGAAAUGCGUAGAGAUUAGGAAGAACACCAGUGGCGAAGGCGAUUCUCUGGACUGUAACUGACGCUGAGGCUCGAAAGCGUGGGGAGCAAACAGG